UGUCUGAGCCAUCCAGGUGCCCCUGGGCUGCUCUGAAUUUUAAAUGAACUGUGUAAAGCAACUAGCGAAUGGUGACUUUGAUUAGCAGAGGAUUUGAGGCAGUUAGGACACAGGACAAUAAGAAAAGGGGACUGCUUGGUCCACAAAGGCAAUAGCAAGGAGCAGGAGUGGAUUCGGUGAUGAAACAGCUUGCAAGCACUUUUGUAAACAGUCCAUAUGCUAGCUCUGGGCAAGCGCUAAGACACUAGUUUGAAAAGCAUAAAAGUCAUAAAAUAGCACCAGUGUUUUUUGUGGUUUUUUUUCUUAGUGUGAGCAAAAAUAUUCAAGCAGACAAAACCAAGCCAAUCUUUUGGGACUAAGACUCUAAAUAUUACUUGUGAGUCACCCCAGCUUCCUUCCAACAGAAAGACUCCCCCAUGCCCUCACUCAACGCCCCCGACUGUGACGCAUUAGGAUUGUAGCUUUUCAGCUUCUCCCACCGAAACCCUAGUCCCUCAUCGUGGGCAGGAGGACAGCCCUGUGCACAGGGUACGUGUUUCCUCAUUUUAGUCCCUCUCCUGUUUAGAGAAAGUUUCCCCCCAAAACCUCAUCAAAAGAGCAGGAUGCCCUCCAAGCCCCGCAGCAAACACUAGAGGGCGCCAGACCCCACGUUAUCCAGGCAGUUCUAACACCAGACACAUUCUGGACAAAAUGUUUCCGCAGUGAGGUCCUCUCCUUCCCAGAGACCUGGGGGGCUAUUUCAGUUUAUACUACGAACAGAAAGCGCCACCAGGAGAUGGACCCUGGCUUUGCUGCUAACUGGGACCCUCUCCCAGUGUGGCUGCAGAAGGCAGUUCCCAGACCUGACGCUGGAGACCUAGCAGUCUUUGGCUCAGCUAUAAAUAUCAUUAGGAAUAAGUAACCCCUUUUCAGCUUCCCCUCCGCCCAGAGAAGCGGGAAAGAAAAGACUUUUCUCCCUUUGGAGGAGGGAGUGGAGGAGAGGCAGAUCCCUGAGGCUCCUUCGUGAGAGCUGCCACCCCUCUGCUCUUUCCCCAGGGGCAGAGCCGACGACUUUCACCCUGACUCCAGGCCCCACUCCCUGAGGCCUCAGUGGCCUAGAGGAGCUGAGCUGUGGGUUUAUUUUCUGUCCAGACAUCUGGGCUGAGGUUGUCAUUAAAUACCUGUUUAAUUCCCUUGUACUGAGCAUAAACUCUCAUUUAUAUCGAGAGCAUAUUGGAAUUUUUAUGGCUGCAAUCCCAAAGCUCUUAUGAACAAUAACGGUAAGUGGCAGUUAUAAAGUGAUUUCCAGUUUUCUAAGCAUUAUGAGCUCUCUUUAUACCUGAAGAGGCAGGUGAGGUGCAUUUUGGGUUUGCAGAUAAAGCGACUGACACUCCAGAGCCUCAUGGGAACUGUAGGCACUGAUGUUGUCUCUUGGAAAUGAUGAUGAUCAUUAUUGUUUAUUAUCAUUUUCACUGUUAUGUUUCCUUUGAUGUCCAAACAGAAUACUUGCUUAAAUACAGCCUUUGGCUAAUGAGUUUCCGUUUGGCUGAUACUAUCUGGGCAGAGAAGAGCUGAAUGUGGAGAACCACUGAAGAGAGAUGAAUGCCUGAGCAGACAGUUGACCUCUUGGCCCUGGGAGAGUUUCCUGCGCUGGGAGGCUGGGCUCUGCAGAGUCAGAGGGCAGGUGCAUUGGCUGGGCUGUUGAGAUGACGGGGCAGUCCCCAUCCAUCAGCCAAUCAGAACAUUCGUGCUUACCUACCAUAUAGAAAAGAAAUGGUGUGCCUCUGCGAGGUCACAAAGACCUUUAGUCUUUGCCUCAAAGAGCUUAUGGUGCAAUGUCAUUGGGGCAAGGACAGUAUAUACAAAGAGAAAGUAAAGUACUCACAGAGAAGUCCUAGCAAGAGUCCAGAAACCCAAUAUCAGAGCUUGGUUAUGUGGAACUUCCCUUUGGAGCAAUGAGAAGGGAGGGUCAGAGAGGCACUGGGAGGAGGUGGGAGGAAGGCACCAGGUCAGUACUCCUGCUGGCUUUGGCUGGAACUUAUCAUCUUCAUAAGAAGGGGCUUUCCCGUAGGUCACAUCCAGGCUGGAGAUGUCUUGCUGGGGUCAAAGUGGAAUCGAAGGCCCAGAGCUUCCAGGAAAUAAUGGAAGUGAAAACACACCUAAAUCCAACAAAAGGAUGCAUAGCAAAAGAUGGAAUUGCAAGUGGUCAACCAGCCCUGGAGAUGGUUUUGGUGCCUGGAUCCUGGAGAUUUGUUUGGCCUCUUUGCCAAGGAAGAAAUUCAUCAUUAAAAAUGCAUACGGAGGGGACGCCUGGGUGGCUCAGUUGGUUAAGCGGCUGACUUCAGCUCAGGUCCUGAUCUCAUGGUUCAGUUCGCGAGUUCGAGCCCCCGCAUCAGGCUCUGUGCUCACAGCU